rnacentral:rRNA from 1 species
UAUCUCUGUAGAGUCUGCAUAUCAAUAAGCGGAGGAAAAGAAACUAACUAGGAUUCCCUCAGUAACGGCGAGUGAAGCGGGAAGAGCUCAAGUUUGAAAUCUUCAAGGUUCUACCUUGACGAAUUGCAGUUUAAAGAAGUGUUUUCUGUUGAAGUUUUGGUAAAAGUUCUUUGGAAUAGGACAUCAUAGAGGGUGAGAAUCCCGUAUUUGACCAGUUAUUUUCCAGCUGUGUGAUACACUUUCAAAGAGUCGGAUUGUUUGGGAAUGCAGUCCAAAAUGGGUGGUAAAUUUCAUCUAAAGCUAAAUACUGGCGAGAGACCGAUAGCGAACAAGUACCGUGAGGGAAAGAUGAAAAGAACUUUGAAAAGAGAGUUAAACAGUACGUGAAAUUGUCAAAAGGGAAGCGUUUGACACCAGUGUUGUUUUCUCGAAAAUCAAUUAAAAAAUGGCAUGAUUUUGUGUUGUAUUGACCUUUAUCAAGCUUUCUUCACUCUUUUUCAUUGUCUUUUUUAAUGCACUUUUCGUUUAACAAGUCAACAUCAGUUUCUUUUGUUGUAAAAAGGGUCAUUGGAAGGUGGCUUUCUUUUCGGAGAAAGUGUUUAUAGCCUUUGCCUCUGCAAUCGGAGAGAUUGAGGUCUGCAGCGUAGAUCCUUCUGGAUUAGAUACACUUUGUGCUAAGUUUAAACGUUUCAUAGACAACCUUGUUGACUAUAUUUAGAUCAUGUCGGCUUACUCGCUUAUGCUAAUUUUACCUACGCUUAGGAUGUUGAAGAUGUAGCACAUCAU